GGCUUCUUGGUGUAGUGGCUAUCACAUCUGCUUCACACGCAGAAGGUCGUGAGUUCGAUCCUCACAGAAGUCA
rnacentral:tRNA from 1 species